rnacentral:lncRNA from 1 species
AUGCAUCUUAAAGAAGAAACGUUGGCAUUAACUUGGGGCUCUCUCCCAAGAAGGAACACCACCAACAGGAGCCAGGAUUUGGUUCUGCAGGGCUUUCCAGUCCCAGACACAUUUCUGCAGGCAAGUGACAUCCAGACUCUCGCCCAGAGGGACCGACAGAUGGGGAGGCUCGUGAGCAGCCGCUGGGGGGACGGAGAGGACAAGGGGGGACGAUGCGACAGGAGGGGGGUGAUCCCUGCCUUCCUGACGUCCGGGAGCCCUCCAAGGCCGUCUGUCCUACAGCCACGCGCCCGCCCGAGGAAGGCGGCCGGAGGGAUGGCAGCCCGCGCCCCGGGCCGUCUCGGGGUCCUCCCGCCUCUACUUACUCGCUCCGAAGUGUCAUCCCGGGGCCGCGCCUCUCGCGUUGACCCCGCGCACAGCGGCAGCCCCAAGCACAGCCCCAGCAGCAGGAGCAUGGCGGGGCCGGAGCGCGCGGCGGCACCGGGGCCCGGCGGGACGCGCGCAGGGGACAGCUCCCGGCUCCCGGCUCCCGGCUCCGCGCUCCGAGGCCGCGCUCGGCCCCGCCCCCCGGGCCCGGCCCCGCCCCAGGCCCCCGCCGGCCCCGCCCCCUGGCCCCCGGGCCCGGCCCCGCCAGCCCCCGGCCCCGCCCCCUGCCGGCCGGCCCCGCCCCCGGCCCCCGCAGGCCCCGCCCCCGGGCCCGCAGGCCCCGCCCCCUACAGCCCCGGCCCCGCCCCCCGCGCCGACCCGGGUCCCAGUCGGGUCCCCACAGCCCCCGGGGGCGGCCCGCCCUUCAGCUCCGCCCUCCAGACCCCAUCCCCUCCGUCGCCUUCUGCUGCCACCUUCAGGGCUGGGGGCACCCGCCACCCGACCCCCAAAUCUCUCUCUCCUGCGAGGUGUACAAUGCUUCUUCCCCCAGCAGCUCCAAUUCCCGUGGCAGGAGGAUGCGCGAGUAGCGAUCCUGACCCCCAGGACCCUGCUCGCCCUCCGUCACCUGCUCUGUACCCCCGGCCCCCGCCGGUGGUGUCUACAGCCGCAUCCCUCACCUGCUCUGUACUCCCUCGCCUGUAUACCCACCCCUGCCGUGUCUACCGCAGCAUCCCUCACCUUGUAUCCACCCUCACCUGUAUAUCCCACCCCACCCGCCGUGUCUACCUCCGCAUCCCUCACCUGGUAUCCCACCCUCACCUGUAUAUCCCACCCCACCCGCCGUGUCUACCGCAGCAUCCCUCACCUUGUAUCCACCCUCACCUGUAUAUCCCACCCCACCCGCAGUGUCUACCCCAGCAUCCCUCACCUUGUAUCCACCCUCACCUGUAUAUCCCACCCCACCCGCCGUGUCUACCCCAGCAUCCCUCACCUUGUAUCCACCCUUACCUGUAUAUCCCACCCCGCCCGCCGUGUCUACCGCAGCAUCCCUCACCUUGUAUCCCACCCUUACCUGUAUAUCCCACCCCACCCGCCGUGUCUACCGCAGCAUCCCUCACCUUGUAUCCCACCCUUACCUGUAUAUCCCACCCCACCCGCCGUGUCUACCGCAGCAUCCCUCACCUUGUAUCCCACCCUCACCUGUAUAUCCCACCCCACCCGCCGUGUCUACCGCAGCAUCCCUCACCUUGUAUCCCACCCUUACCUGUAUAUCCCACCCCGCCCGCUGUGUCUACCCCAGCAUCCCUCACCUUGUAUCCACCCUCACCUGUAUAUCCCACCCCACCCGCUGUGUCUACCUCCGCAUCCCUCACCUUGUAUCCACCCUCACCUGUAUAUCCCACCCCACCCGCUGUGUCUACCUCCGCAUCCCUCACCUGCAAUCUGUACCACCACCACCGCUCCCCACCUGCUAGCAUAACGCUAACAUGA